AAAAUCGGUGUGACCCAAUUUUCUUCAAAUCAAACCUUUAAUUUCCUCUAUAUAUAUUCAACUCAACCACACCACCCCACACCAUUCAUCACAGUCCUUACUGCUUUGUAAACAUCAUGAAUGAGCCAAAAUACGCUUAUCCUUACCCUGCUCCUGCUCAAGGAGGAGGAGGAUAUUAUCAAGGGCCGCCUGUGAUGGCUCCGCCGCAAUACGCAGCCGCGCCUCCUCCUAGAAGAGAACCUGGUUUCCUUGAAGGCUGUCUGGCUGCUCUGUGUUGCUGUUGCCUUCUUGAUGAGUGUUGUUGUGACCCAACCAUCAUUUUCUACUAGAUUAUUCAUGGCUACUUGUUACCAUAAAUAGAAAGUUGUACUGUAUGUGACUAUGUUCAUCUCGUUUUAGGGUUCUUCAUCAUGUAUUAAAUGUUGAUUGGUUACUUGAGUUCUAUAUUUGUGUACUUGAAGUGCUUUCAUUUGAACUGGUUGAUCAGGUCGGAGUUUCUUCUU